GAUGAACGCUGGCGGCGUGCCUAAUACAUGCAAGUCGAGCGAACGGACGAGAAGCUUGCUUCUCUGAUGUUAGCGGCGGACGGGCGAGUAACACGUGGAUAACCUCCUUAUAAGACUGGGAUAAUUUCGGGAAACCGUAGCUAAUACCGGAUAAUAUUCUGAACCGCAUGGUUCAAAAGUGAAAGACGGUCUUGCUGUCUCUUAUAGAGGGUUCCGCGCUGCAUUAGCUAGUUGGUAAGGUAACGGCUUACCAAGGCAACGAUGCAUAGCCGACCUGAGAGGGGGAUCGGCCACACUGGAACUGAGACACGGUCCAGACUCCUACGGGAGGGAGCAGUAGGGAAUCUUCCGCAAUGGGCGAAAACCUGACGGAGCAACGCCGCGUGAGUGAUGAAGGUCUUCGGAGCGUAAAACUCUGUUAUUAGGGAAAAACAUAUGUGUAAGUAACUGUGCACAUCUUGACGGUACCUAAUCAAAAAGCCACGGCUAACUACGUG
rnacentral:rRNA from 1 species